GACGAACGCUGGCGGCGUGCCUAAUACAUGCAAGUAGAACGCUGAAGGAGGAGCUUGCUUCUCUGGAUGAGUUGCGAACGGGUGAGUAACGCGUAGGUAACCUGCCUGGUAGCGGGGGAUAACUAUUGGAAACGAUAGCUAAUACCGCAUAAUAGUAGAUGUUGCAUGACAUUUGCUUAAAAGUUUCAAUUGCAUCACUACCAGAUGGACCUGCGUUGUAUUAGCUAGUUGGUGUGGUAACGGCUCACCAAGGCGACGAUACAUAGCCGACCUGCGAGGGUGAUCGGCCACACUGGGAGUGAGACCCGGCCCAGACUACUACGGGAGGCAGCAGUAGGGAAUCUUCGGCAAUAGACGGAAGUCUGACCGAGCAACGCCGAGUGAGUGAAGAAGGUUGUCGGAUCGUAAAGCUCUGUUGUAAGAGAAGAAAGAGUGUGAGAGUGGAAAGUUCACACUGUGACGGUAUCUUACCAGAAAGGGACGGCUAACUACGUG
rnacentral:rRNA from 1 species